rnacentral:rRNA from 1 species
GGUCAAGCUACAAAGGGCUCAUGGAGGAUACCUA